UGGAACUCUCUUGAAAGGGUCCAUAACAAUGAACUUAAAGGAAAACUCUACUGCUAUGCUCUCUCCCUUUAUCUCAUGUGGCACUACACCAUGACCUUUGCUUAUUACAGGAAGGAUUGAUGUAAAGGCAUGCUUUAAUCAACACCACAUGAGUUCAGCCGUUUCUUUGCAUAUUCAGAUGAGCAGGGAACCCGACUUCUCUGGCUCUCAAGAAGCAGGUGUGUGCUGGCAUCAUGUGAACAAAUCCCCACCACACCAAGGCCUUGGGCUUAUGCUGAUCGACUUUCCAGUGGUUUGGACAUCAGAAGCAAAAACAAUGACAGAGAAGAAUAGAGAGAUGAGUGACACUGGUCAG